rnacentral:lncRNA from 1 species
GAACAUUAUUACUAGUCUACAUUUUGUUAAGUUAAAUUUAAUUUUGACAUUUUUUGCAUGUGACUAGUAUAGUUUGAAAUGAUAAAAUCCAACUAUAGAUGCGUUUAUAGUAGAAGUAGAUCUGACACUUUGUAUUUAUUAUAUUUGAAUUUGGUUAAGUUUAAAGAGUACGGUAUUGCAUCAGUUCAUUGAGUCUAUGUAGGGGCUGCCCUUCUGGCAAAAGUAGGUCACUGGGAUCUAACUAUUAUUCAUGUUAAAAUCUGAUAAGGUUCAAUUUAAAUCCAAAAAUUAGUUUAUAUUUUUCAUGGUUUUUUUUAGUGGGGGAGAAAAAGGGCUUUCAUAUUUUUUCAUAUUUUUUUUUUAAUUUACUGGUGAAAAACUGCAUUGCUCUAAAACCGGUUGAACUAAAAUAAAUUUAACUAAAACAGCACAGAAUUUAAAUUGUGCAUCAGUACUACAUGAUUUAGAGACAGGGUGCGACCUCUUGUUUGCAUGGUAAAGUUGUAAGUCACUGGUGUGUAUGAAAUAUGACCGUAAACUUACCUUUUGAUUGCAUGAUGAGGUCGUAAGUCACUGGCGUGUAUGAAACAAGACCGUAAACUUGACCUGCUACAAAUCAGAUAGUUACCAUUUGGUCUGGGCUUCAAAGUUUUCUUUUUAAAAGGUAGGGCUAGAUCUGGUAUUUUGGUGUGGGAUUUUAAAUUUUCUUUUUAAGAGUGAGGGUGUGAUCUGGUAUUUUGGUCUGGGAUUCCAAAAAAUUCUAUUUGAGAUCAUUUUAGAUAGAGUAAUGCAGUUUAUGCACCAUUUUGUAUUUGUAAAUUCAGAUUCAAAAGUUUUCAAACUUCUUUAUUUUUAAAUU